rnacentral:rRNA from 1 species
GACGAACGCUGGCGGCGUGCUUAACACAUGCAAGUCGAACGAAAAGACCAUGCUUUUGUGGGGUGCUCGAGUGGCGAACGGGUGAGUAACACGUGAGUAAACUGCCCCUGACUUUGGGGUAACAUCAGGAAACUGGGGCUAAUACAGGAUAGGAGCUCCUGCUGCAUGGUGGGGGUUGGAAAGUUUCGGCGGUUGUGGAUGGUCUCGCGGCUUAUCAGCUUGUUGGUGGGGUAGUUGCUUACCAAGGCUUUGAAGGGUAGCCGGCCUUGGAGGGUGACCGGCCACCUGGGGCCUGCGGUACGGCCCAGUCUCCUACGUUACGCAGCAGUCGGGAAUAUUGCACAAUGGGCGCAAGCCUGAUGCAGCAACGCCGCGUUCGGGAUGACGUCUUUCGGGUUGUAAACCGCUUUCGCCUGUGACGAAGCGUGAGUGACGGUACUGGGUCAAGAAGCCCCGGCUAACUACGUG